rnacentral:lncRNA from 1 species
CGAGGGUCGGCUGAGAAGCUCUCAAGUUCUUCUACGGGGGAUGCUUGGGGCUCAUGUUCCAUUAUGCGGGGGUCGAUCUCAUCGAUCAGCGCCUCCUGAACGAGGAGUGCGUCAAUCAUAUCAACAUCUUCCUUGUCAGUGGGAGCGUCACCUGAGACAUCCGUCAUAACCACAUCAGCCACGAUCACAUGGACGUCUCGGGGCUCCACCUUCUUAAUGGAGCUCAGAUAGCACUCUCGCGAACCUCUCUGGUCGCCUCUCACCGUUGCCACCCCAUUUUCUGUUGGGAAUUUCAUGCAUAGGUGGUGGAUGGAGGUGACUGCUCCCAAUUCCUUUAGGGCCGGUCUGCCCAAGACCCCGUGGUAAGCCGACCGGCUGUCGACCACGAGGAACUCCAUAAAGUUCAUCGUAGUUUGAGGAGAUUCUCCCAUCUCCACUGCCAGUGUUAUCUUUCCUCUCGGAGUAAUGCUAUCUCCGAUAAAUCCGUACAAUGGAGUGGUGGUGGGUGUCAACUGAUGGUCCAAUAUCAUCUUGUCAAAGGCGGACCCGAAUAAGAUGUUGACGGAGCUGCCAUUGUCGACAAGCAUUCGUUUGAGCCCAUUUCGGGCUAUGACUGCCCUCACUACUAGCGCAUCGCAGUGGGGGUAAUGAACUCCUUCGGCGUCUUCCUGGGUGAAGACAAUGGGUGGUGCUUGGUUUCUUCGAGAGCUAUUAUCUACAAUGUAACUUGUCAGAGGGGGGUGCUUAGCCUCCCUAGCAUAGUUUCUUUUGGCGUUUCGCGUUUCCCCGCCAACGUAAGGGCCUCCAAAUAUGGUAUCUAUCUCGUGGAUAGGGGCUUCAUCUUGAGCCUGCCUGUUCCGUCGGUGUCUACGCCCUUCCCUGGGCCUCUCCGUGUCUUGCUCUCUUCGCCUUGGGGAAACAUCCCUUUGGCGAGGAGCGGCCGCCUCACGCCCAUGUUGGUUGUCUUGCCUGGGCGGGGGCCUGUUGGCUUGGGGCGAGUUAUGUCUUUCCCUGGCGGGCUCCUGUCGCGAGCGGUGUGCA